rnacentral:rRNA from 1 species
UAAUACGGAGGGGGCUAGCGUUGUUCGGAAUUACUGGGCGUAAAGAGCGCGUAGGCGGUUUACCAAGUUGGGGGUGAAAUCCCGGGGCUUAACUCCGGAACUGCCCUCAAAACUGGUAGGCUAGAGUGUGGGAGAGGAGAGUGGAAUUCCCAGUGUAGAGGUGAAAUUCGUAGAUAUUGGGAAGAACACCAGUGGCGAAGGCGGCUCUCUGGACCACAACUGACGCUGAGGCGCGAAAGCGUGGGGAGCAAACAGGAUUAGAUACCCUGGUAGUCCACGCCGUAAACGAUGAGUGCUAGACGUUGGGGGGCUUGCCCUUCAGUGUCGCAGCUAACGCAUUAAGCACUCCGCCUGGGGAGUACGGUCGCAAGAUUA